rnacentral:rRNA from 1 species
ACUCAAAUGAAUUGACGGGGACUUGCACAAGCGGUGGAACAUGUGGUUCAAUUCGACGCUAAACGAAGAACCUUACCAGGGUUAGAAAUCCAGACGAAGAUCCGCAGAAACGUGGAUCGCCGAAAGGCGGCUGGACAGGUGCUGCAUGGCUGUCGUCAGUUCGUGGUUUGAACUGUUCCCUUCAGUGGGGUAACGAACGCAACCCCUGUUGCCUGUUACAAGUGUCAGGCGAGACCGCCCAGCCCUCAAUAUGUGAGGAGAUCCUCAUAUAAUGAGGGCUGGGAGGAAGGUGGGGAUGACGCCAAGUCAGCAUGGCCCUCUGACACCCUGGGCUACACACGUGUUACAAUGCAUGGUACAACGGGACGCAAUAUCGUAAGAUGGAGCAAACCCUUAUAAAACCAUGCCCAGUUCGGAUUGAGGUCUGCAACUCGACCUCAUGAAGCCGGAAUCGCUAGUAAUCGCAGGUCAGCUAUACUGCGGUGAAUACGUUCUCAAGUCUUGUACACACCGCCCGU